GAUGAACGCUGGCGGCGUGCCUAAUACAUGCAAGUCGAGCGAACGGACGAGAAGCUUGCUUCUCUGAUGUUAGCGGCGGACGGGUGAGUAACACGUGGAUAACCUACCUAUAAGACUGGGAUAACUUCGGGAAACCGGAGCUAAUACCGGAUAAUAUUUUGAACCGCAUGGUUCAAAAGUGAAAGACGGUCUUGCUGUCACUUAUAGAUGGAUCCGCGCUGCAUUAGCUAGUUGGUAAGGUAACGGCUUACCAAGGCAACGAUGCAUAGCCGACCUGAGAGGGUGAUCGGCCACACUGGAACUGAGACACGGUCCAGACUCCUACGGGAGGCAGCAGUAGGGAAUCUUCCGCAAUGGGCGAAAGCCUGACGGAGCAACGCCGCGUGAGUGAUGAAGGUCUUCGGAUCGUAAAACUCUGUUAUUAGGGAAGAACAUAUGUGUAAGUAACUGUGCACAUCUUGACGGUACCUAAUCAGAAAGCCACGGCUAACUACGUGCCAGCAGCCGCGGUAAUACGUAGGUGGCAAGCGUUAUCCGGAAUUAUUGGGCGUAAAGCGCGCGUAGGCGGUUUUUUAAGUCUGAUGUGAAAGCCCACGGCUCAACCGUGGAGGGUCAUUGGAAACUGGAAAACUUGAGUGCAGAAGAGGAAAGUGGAAUUCCAUGUGUAGCGGUGAAAUGCGCAGAGAUAUGGAGGAACACCAGUGGCGAAGGCGACUUUCUGGUCUGUAACUGACGCUGAUGUGCGAAAGCGUGGGGAUCAAACAGGAUUAGAUACCCUGGUAGUCCACGCCGUAAACGAUGAGUGCUAAGUGUUAGGGGGGUUCCGCCCCUUAGUGCUGCAGCUAACGCAUUAAGCACUCCGCCUGGGGAGUACGACCGCAAGGUUGAAACUCAAAGGAAUUGACGGGGACCCGCACAAGCGGUGGAGCAUGUGGUUUAAUUCGAAGCAACGCGAAGAACCUUACCAAAUCUUGACAUCCUUUGACAACUCUAGAGAUAGAGCUUUCCCCUUCGGGGGACAAAGUGACAGGUGGUGCAUGGUUGUCGUCAGCUCGUGUCGUGAGAUGUUGGGUUAAGUCCCGCAACGAGCGCAACCCUUAAGCUUAGUUGCCAUCAUUAAGUUGGGCACUCUAAGUUGACUGCCGGUGACAAACCGGAGGAAGGUGGGGAUGACGUCAAAUCAUCAUGCCCCUUAUGAUUUGGGCUACACACGUGCUACAAUGGACAAUACAAAGGGCAGCGAAACCGCGAGGUCAAGCAAAUCCCAUAAAGUUGUUCUCAGUUCGGAUUGUAGUCUGCAACUCGACUACAUGAAGCUGGAAUCGCCAGUAAUCGUAGAUCAGCAUGCUACGGUGAAUACGUUCCCGGGUCU
rnacentral:rRNA from 1 species